rnacentral:tRNA from 1 species
GCCUGGGUAGCUCAGUUGGUUAAGUGCUGACUUCAACUCAGGUCAUGAUCUCACAAUUCAUGGGUUCGAGCCCCACCUUGGGCU